GAUGAAGAAGGUAGUGAAAUGCGAUAAGUUAUGUGAAUUGCAGAAUUCAGUGAAUCAUCGAAUCUUUGAACGCACAUUGCGCCCUCUGGUAUUCCGGGGGGCAUGCCUGUUCGAGCGUCAUUAUAACCACUCAAGCUCUCGCUUGGUAUUGGGGUUCGCGGUUCCGCGGCCCCUAAAAUCAGUGGCGGUGCCUGUCGGCUCUACGCGUAGUAAUACUCCUCGCGAUUGAGUCCGGUAGGUCUACUUGCCAGCAACCCCCAAUUUUUACAGGUUGACCUCGGAUCAGGUAGGGAUACCCGCUGAACUUAAGCAUAUCAAUAAGCGGAGGA
rnacentral:misc_RNA from 1 species